GCGCAGCGAACCCUAGCGCUCUCACCCUCUCAGCCCCGCACACCACUCCUCCUUCUGGAUCCACCGCCGCCACCCUCUGGAUCUCGACGCGCCGCCACUCCCUCCCUCCAGAUUGAGAGAGAGCUCGACGGCCGCACCGACUCCUCCUUGAGAUGGCGUGGAUCCGGUGCUUGCCUCUUCUCCGAAUCCACUAAAUCUUACGCGGCGGCCACCACGGCGACCGCAGUGCCAGCUCCUGCCGCGGGGACCUCGCUAUUCCAGGUCGCGGCCUCGCGGGGCCGCUGCACCCGCGCCUCCGGGCCAGGCACCGGCGCGACCCUCUCCUUCACCCCCGCCGCCGCUGCCGCAACUCCGACGCCUCCUUCCACCACCUCCUCUUUGUCGCAAGGGAGGGCCGCCGCCGCCGGCCAGCGGAAGGAGGAGCAUAGGCUGGACUGGUGCUACUUGUAGGAGGAGACCAACCACCACGUCUUCCUCCAUAAGCUGCAGCCCAUCCUCGCCAGCCACCUGCACAACCACACCCAGACCACCGCCGGCAGCAGCAGCGGCCACGCAUGCGUGGUGUCCUGCGGCGCGGCCGCCUCCAAGGACCACCUCUUCAAGGGGUCGCAGGAGCAGUCGGGCCUGGUCACCAUCACCAUGGAGGUGGUGCACUAUGAGGUUGGUUUUGUUUUUGGAUGAACCUGUAUAUAUUUUGUGUACACACCACUGAUUCGUAUGGUGCACUGUGAGGCUGGAAAUUUCCUUUUAAGCUGUGGUGUGUUUGUUCUUGAGAGCUAGUUGUGGAAAAUCCCCCUUGCUGUAUGGAAUCCAGUGAAAAAAAAUUCAAAAUGGUUCGAUAUCCCACCACACACUAGUUGGGCCUAGUGAUAUUGAUGAACUGUAGUGUUUCAUUGUAUUAUACCAUCUUGUCUACUUGUAUUGUGUCAAGGAAAUCAAGGGCAUGUGGAAGAGAGAGGAGUUCCAUGGAGAAGAUGCUCUGCUCCACCUCCAACCCACCCUGCCUACUACUACAGGAAUAGGAUGCCAUGGAAGGUCUGGCAGCACCGCCGCGUCGACGGCGAAGGUGGUGACUGCGGCGGCAAGCGGCACGAGUUGGUGGCUGCGGGACUCAAUGACACGGCUCAUAUAUGUGCUUCCGACUAAUCCAGCUUCUUUUGGUCUAGCUGGGCAUUACUUUGAGUUCAUAUAUGUGUUUGUCACUCCAUAGGUUAUAGUGAUUCCCUCUGUUUCCUUAUAUGUUCUUGUAGUUUGGUUGCUUUCCUGUUCAUGCAUGUUUGUACAGCUAUAUAUAGUUUUGCUGUGAAUCAAAGACGACAUGCUUUCAUGUUCACUCCAUAGGUCAUGUGCUUGUCACUCCAUAGGUUAUAGUUUUGCUGUGAACCUAGGUGUGCUAUGUGGGGAAGCAAAGCAGUAGCUCACAACUCCGGCCUGCAACUCCAGAUGAAGGCACUCCGAUGACGCAUCAUGCUACUCCCUUGGAUGGUUGGCUCCUGGACCGGCUUCCUAGUCCGUGGCCUGCCUUCUGGAUGGAGCAAGGAGGGGGCAUCAUCCACACCGCGGAGCUGGUUGAGCCUUAGCGCGAACUGGAUAAGCAGGGCAUCGUCGGGGACAUCUCUCGCUUGUGCCAUGAUUUUGGCCUCAAUUCGUCAAAAGUUCCUGUACAAGGAACUACAGGAGAAGACUCCUAAAGAAAACUUGCACCCAACAAUGUGUUUUAGCUCCCUGGAGCUAGACAUGUUAAUAUUUAGUUGUAUUUUAUAUUUCAAUAACUGAUUUGUACAGCCGUGAUUGUAAAGUACCUGCCAUGAUUUGGCUAUCGUUUCAAAAUUUAUGUGU